rnacentral:rRNA from 1 species
AUUGAACGCUGGCGGCAGGCCUAACACAUGCAAGUCGCACGAGUGGCGGACGGGUGAGUAAUGUCUGGGAAACUACCUGAUGGAUGGGGAUAACUACGGGAAACUGUAUCUAAUACCGCAUACCAUCGGAUGUGCCCAAGUGGGAUUAGCUCGUUGGGGGGGUAACGGCUCACCAAGGCGACGAUCCCUAGCUGGUCUGAGAGGAUGACCAGCCACACUGGAACUGAGACACGGCCCAGACUCCUACGGGAGGCAGCAGUGGGGAAUAUUGCGCAAUGGGGGCAACCCUGACGCAGCCAUGCCGCGUGAAUGAAGAAGGCCUUCGGGUUGUAAAGUUCUUUCGGUAGCGAGGCGUUACCUACAGAAGAAGCACCGGCUAACUCCGUGCCAGCAGCCGCGGUAAUAC